UCAGGAUGAACGCUGGCGGCGUGCUUAACACAUGGCAAGUCGAACGAAGCACUUUUACAGAUUUCUUCGGAAUGAAGUUUUAGUGACUGAGUGGCGGACGGGUGAGUAACGCGUGGGUAACCUGCCUCACACAGGGGGAUAACAGUUGGAAACGACUGCUAAUACCGCAUAAGCGCACGGUAUCGCAUGGUACAGUGUGAAAAACUCCGGUGGUGUGAGAUGGACCCGCGUCUGAUUAGCUAGUUGGCAGGGCAACGGCCUACCAAGGCGACGAUCAGUAGCCGACCUGAGAGGGUGACCGGCCACAUUGGGACUGAGACACGGCCCAGACUCCUACGGGAGGCAGCAGUGGGGAAUAUUGCACAAUGGGCGCAAGCCUGAUGCAGCAACGCCGCGUGGAGGAAGACGGUUUUCGGAUCGUAAACUCCUGUUCUUAGUGAAGAAUAAUGACGGUAGCUAAGGAGCAAGCCACGGCUAACUACGUG
rnacentral:rRNA from 1 species